CUACAGUACAGUAGGUGGCGGUAUACUGUAGUAUGCUGUUCAUGUCCGCAUCGUCAUACGCGCCAGCACCCCUGAAAGACUGCAGGAACAGAAACCCCUGGAAAGAUGAGUUCCCUAUUAAAGAGAGGCUUGAUGCUGUUUACUCCACACUCUUAGGCUGAUUUUGGAUUAUUUGUCUGUGAAGACACAGUAGUUCAGUUUCUGAAUCCCAUCAAGAAUGAAGACCUGCAGGCCACCAUAUUGAGCUGCAGGGUCUGAUGUCAUAAUAUGGCGCUUUUCCAAUGUAGGGUACAACUUGGCUCGGCACAAUGCAGCUCAUACCGCUUUCAUUGCUUUUCCAGUACAGUUUAGUAUCGCUUCAGAGUGGGUGAGAUUAUAGGCAGGGGUGCACAUAAGGGUGUGUAUGCGCGAUAAGAAACAAUUCCAGCGUACCAACGUUGCUGAAAUUUUGUUACAUAGUUAGCUAAUUUACUGCAACAUAAGGGAUUUCAUAACAUCUCAAUCACUCCCCAGUGACUGGUCCCAGUAUAGGUCAUAAACCCCGCCUCCCCCAUGUUAUUUAAUGGGACUUGAGACCAAGCUGUUUUUUGUCAUUUACUGUAGGUUUUAUCAUGCUGAUGUAAAUUCAAGUGUUUGUUUUUAAAAUAAGUUUGUUUUUAGUUAGUUAGUUAAUGCUAUAAAACGGUGUUGUCACGUCAUGAUUGACAGCUGUGUAUGCACAUUCUGGGAGAGUGAGGGCGGGGCCUUGAUUUCGCGGCUUUACAUCCUGCUCACUACUGUGCAGGACUGGUCCCGAAAUUGCUACUGCGCAGACUCAAGACCCAAGAUGUCAGCGGCGACACUGGCGGCUUCAUUUUUUACCAAUGGAAGAGAGCAAGCUCUCCAGGUGCUCCUUUUAGAACCAGGACAAAAAAAGUUAUGUGCACCUCUGAUUAUAGGCUUAUUGUUACAGUUGCGUCUCCUAUACUGCCGUAACAUCAUCGUAAAUGUGAUACAAACACACACACAACAUGGAGCAACAUAGCAUAUUAAUGGAAUGUAGCCACAAAAUCAAAAUUGACAGCCACAACUACAUUUUCCACUACCUCUCUCACAUGACAGGUUCUGUACAAACACCCGUGUCAUCAGUAUCAGCUCUCCGCGGACAGAACAUUUAAGCCAUGACGCCUAUAUUUUUGGUGCGUUUUGGAUGCGGAGCCAUGCGCAAAGUUACAAAAAUGCCAUGCAGACAUAGGCAUGGUGGUGUGCUCUGCAUUUUUGUAACUUUGCACAUGACUUCACAUCCGAAACCCCAUCCCAUUACUCCUCCCCCAAAAGUGAGCUGUGCUGAACUGGGUUAUACUAUGCAGUGGAAAAGCGCCAAAAGUGUCCUACUUCGUGGCUUGAAGGAUUUAGCAGUUUCAGCGUUGGACUUGUAAUUCUGCGUGUUUGGCUUCUUUAGCACUUGCUGUUUGAAAGUCAUUGCUUGCAACAGAUUGAGCGACUGUCAUUCUACAUUUCUGUUUGCAUUGCUUUGCUUGCAUUUUGAAUCCUUCGCAAUAAUAACUAUGCAAAAAGUUUUACAUUUGAACUGUAGUUGUAGAUUUAAAUUUGUUUUUCCUUGAUAUAAUGUAUUUAUAUAGAUUUUUACAAUUAUUUAUCAUGCAGUGCUUCAUAUAUGAGAAAGACAACGCUUGAAGAACCACACAACACUCAUAUUAAUGUAUGUGUCAUAUUAAUAAAAAUAAACAAGUCUUUGCACUUCAUUUAUAUUUAAUUGAGUGAUAUGUAACUUCACAAUGGUGGAUUCUUUAACUAUUACAUGAAUAUGUGCAUUGUGAUUUCGAUUUAUUGACCAUAGUUAUGUGUUAGGAAUAGUGGAGAAAAUCAUUUACUAAAAAAGACAAAGGUGCCAGAUCUUUCAUUUACUUUAAAUGCAAUAAAAUUAUAGAACAAUUGUAAGCAGCUUUAAUGGAAUCUAUGUAAUAUAGUCAGUAAAGCAUACUAAGUAGUUUAUAAAUUAAGAAAUUCUUAAUAUUAGAUACUAUAAAUUACGAUUUUCAUUAGUAAAGCCAUAGCAAAAACAGCAUUUUUACUUUGAUGUUGCAUAAAAGGGUAACUCUUAUGGUUAAAUGUGUAUGGGUUUAUAUUAAAGCUUCGAGUGGUUUCACGUCCCCGGAAGGUCCGCCAGCGAACGUUGUCUAGCGGACCAUAUGCGGACGUCACCAGAAGGUCCGCCAGAAAACGGUUUUUAGCGGACUUUGUGCGGACGUCCCCGGAAUGUCCGC